UACGAAGGGGGCUAGCGUUGCUCGGAAUUACUGGGCGUAAAGGGCUCGUAGGCGGCCAACUAAGUCAGCACGUGAAAUCCCCAGGCUUAACCUGGGAACUGCGUCUGAUACUGGAUGGCUUGAAUUCGGGAGAGGGAUGCAGAAUUCCAGGUGUAGCGGUGAAAUGCGUAGAUAUCAAGAGGAACACCUGAGGUGAAGACGGGUUGCUGGGCUGACACUGACGCUGAGGCGCGAAAGCCAGGGGAGGCAAACGGG
rnacentral:rRNA from 1 species